rnacentral:rRNA from 1 species
AAAUGAAUUGACGGGGACCCGCACAACCAGUGGAGCGUGUGGUUCAAUUUGAGACGAAGCAAAAAACCUCACCAAGGUUUGACAUGUAACCGUACAUUUCCCUAGAAAUAGGGAGAAAUCCGCAAGGAUGGUUACACAGGUGCUGCAUGGCUGUCGUCAGCUCGUGCCGUGAGGUGUCUUAUUAAGUUAAGAAACGAGUGCAACCCCUAUCUUGUGUUAAAUAUUCACAAGAGACUGCCCCGAUUUUAUCGGGGAGGAAGGAGGGGCGGACGUCAAGUCCGCAUGGCCCUUAUACCUUGGGCUACACACACCCUACAAUGGCGAAAAACAAUGCGUCGCAAGCCGGUAACGGCAAGCUAAUCGCUGAAAUUUCGCCUCAGUUCAGAUCGAGGUCUGAAAUUCGACCUCGUGAAGUCGGAAUUGGUAGUAAUCGCAAAUCAGCAGGUUGCGGUGAAUACGUUCUCGGGUCUUGUACACACCGCCCGU